rnacentral:misc_RNA from 1 species
GAAUUGCGAUAUCUAGUGUGAAUUGCAGAACGCCGUGAAUCAUUGAGUUUUUGAACGCAUUACGCCUUGCCAGUCUUCUUCGGGGGCCUGGCGGCAUGCUAGUGUGCAGUGUCGGGCAUUCCUUCUCACAACCAAAACAAAAAAUCGGUUUUCACAAGCUGUUUUUUUGCCGAGGUUGCGGAUUUGAAAGUAGAACGUAACGGUUCUUCUUUUGAAAUGCAUGACGAGCUCCUAUUGUCGGCGCUUGCAGGUUAACACGAAUGAGGGUAACUCCAAUUUUGUGCGAGCUGCGGGAUGCAAGACGGUAGAAGUGAGUCUUUCACCCAGCAACUUCGGUUGUUCUGGGUGUGAACCCCUAUACUGGGUUCAUAUACCUUCAUUCUUCGACCUGUCUAUUAGC